AGACGGCCACGUUUCGCCUCAGUUCUUGAUAGAACGGACGCUAGUUUUCCAAACGAAAUAUAUAUUAAAGAAAAACCUACAGAUCUAUCAAUUUUACUCUCCACAAACCCUUGCGACCUGAAGAAGAAAUCCCUAGAGAUCUAUCAGUUUUACUUUCCACACACCCUUGCGACCUGAAGAGCGAAGGUGACGGCGGCGAUGUGACCAUCGGCGGCAACCAUCGGCGUGAGUAGCAGUGACGACCAUCGGCGUGAGUAGCGGCAACGACCAUCGACAGCAAGCAGCGGCUUCAAGCAUGUCGGCGACGAGCAGUGGCGACGACACCUCCGACAUUUAGAUCUGCGUUUCCUCAGAUCUGGGAUUGCGACAACCUAGGUUAGAAGGAGAGGAAUAUUUGUCAAUAGUUGAUGAAUUAAUGGAAGUUGUUCAUGCUUGUUGGCCACAGGCUGUUGUUCAGGGUAAUAGAGAAAGCAGAUAUCAUGGAGGCAGAAAUAAUAAUCACAGUGGAUUCAGGAACCAGAUUAUCUGAGGUGGAGUGUUUCCUAUAAUUAAGGAACCAGAUUAUCUUGUCAAUGGGGAGUAAUGUAUCAUGUUAACAAAGGUGUUGCUAUGCCAAUAAUGUUGAACUGUCUAAUUGACAAAGAUAUGUAUUACCAUGUCAAUGAGAGAUCUGGACUAAAAACACCUCUCAAUGAAAGGAAAUCAACUUUCUGGACAGUUGCGACAAUUCUUGAGGCUAUUUUGGCAUGGCGCACAACACCGCACAAAGACUUGAACAAAAGGCUGUUAGAUAUCGUUUGGUACGUUGCAUCGAAUGCCACAACAUCUCCAAAUGCAGCGUAGUGUUUUCGUGCCACACCAUCAGCCUAGAACACCGGGCUCAACUAUUCUAUUUCAUUCACCUCGUAUUCGAAGUACAUAUUUUCAUAAUCCGCCUUCUUUUAUAGGUAGUUGGACACUACCAUCUGUGCAUCUCCCCCUUUCAUAUACACCAAGAUCUCUCUCUUGUAGUUAUUGAAAUCUUGAUGCGUAACACCCACAUUCUCAACUUCACUCAUCAUUUCUACAUACUGGUUGAAACUCUUAGUUAGCCCGAUGUUAGCUUUUGCACAGUUUGAUAUGAAAUGCUGAUGCCCAAUGUGUAAUUUCCGAUUCACUUUCA